UGGGGAAUAUUGCACAAUGGGCGCAAGCCUGAUGCAGCAACGCCGCGUGAGUGAUGAAGGCUUUCGGGUCGUAAAACUCUGUCCUAAGGGAAGAAAAAAUGACGGUACCUUAGGAGGAAGCCCCGGCAAACUACGUGCCAGCAGCCGCGGUAAUACGUAGGGGGCAAGCAUUAUCCGGAAUCACUGGGCGUAAAGGGUGCGUAGGCGGCUGAGCAAGCCAGGGGUGAAAGGCAGUAGCUUAACUAUUGUAAGCCUUUGGAACUGUUCAGCUUGAGUGUAGGAGAGGUAAGUGGAAUUCCUAGUGUAGCGGUGAAAUGCGUAGAUAUUAGGAGGAACACCAGUGGCGAAGGCGACUUACUGGACUAUAACUGACGCUGAGGCACGAAAGCGUGGGGAGCAA
rnacentral:rRNA from 1 species